UGGUUGUGCAAUGGGCGUGCAAAGGGCGUGCAGGGCGCCGAGGGCGUGCGGUGCGUGUUGUGAGUGUGUGUGUGGUGGGUGUUGUGUGUGUUGUGUGGUGUGUGCAGUGUGUGUGUGUGUGUGUGUGUCAUGUGUGGUGUGUGCAAUGAGUGUGCAAUGGGUGUGCAAAGGGCGUGUGGGGCGCCGAGGGCGUGCGGUGCGUGUUGUGUGUGUGUCGUGUGUUCUCUGUGUUGUGUGUACAAUGGGCGUGCAAAGGGUGUGCGGGGCACAGAGGAUGUGCAGUGUGUGUUGUGAUUGUGUGUGGUGGUGUGUGGUGUGUGCAA
rnacentral:lncRNA from 1 species